CUGUCUACUUGGAUACCUGUGGUAAUUCUAGAGCUAAUACAUGCUAAAAACCUCGACUUCGGAAGGGGUGUAUUUAUUAAAUAAAAAACCAAUGCCCUCCGGGGCUCCUGGGUGAUUCAUAAUAACUCAACGAAUCGCAUGGCCUUGCGCCGGCGAUGGUUCAUUCAAAUUUCUGCCCUAUCAACUUUCGAUGGUAGGAUAGUGGCCUACCAUGGUUUCUACGGGUAACGGGGAAUUAGGGUUCUAUUCCGGAGAGGGAGCCUGAGAAACGGCUACCACAUCCAAGGAAGGCAGCAGGCGCGCAAAUUACCCAAUCCCGACACGGGGAGGUAGUGACAAUAAAUACUGAUACAGGGCUCUUUCGGGUCUUGUAAUUGGAAUGAGUACAAUUUAAAUCCCUUAACGAGGAACAAUUGGAGGGCAAGUCUGGUGCCAGCAGCCGCGGUAAUACCAGCUCCAAUAGCGUAUAUUAAAGUUGUUGCAGUUAAAAAGCUCGUAGUUGAAACUUGGGCCUGGCUGGCCGGUCCGCCUCACCGCGUGCACUGGUCCGGCCGGGCCUUUCCUUCUGGGGAGCCGCAUGCCCUUCAGUGGGUGUGUCGGGGAACCAGGACUUUUACUUUGAAAAAAUUAGAGUGUUCAAAGCAGGCCUAUGCUCGGAUACAUUAGCAUGGAAUAAUGGAAUA
rnacentral:rRNA from 1 species